rnacentral:rRNA from 1 species
GCCAGACUCCUACGGGAGGCAGCAGUGGGGGAUAUUGCACAAUGGGGGGAACCCUGAUGCAGCGACGCCGCGUGGGUGAAGGAGCGUUUCGGCGCGUAAAGCCCUCUCGGCAGGGAAGAAGGAGGACGGUACCUGACUAAGAAGCCCCGGCUAACUACGUGCCAGCAGCCGCGGUAAUACGUAGGGGGCAAGCGUUAUCCGGAUUUACUGGGUGUAAAGGGGGCGCAGACGGCAGCGCAAGCCAGGAGUGAAAGCCCGGGGCCCAACCCCGGGACUGCUCUUGGAACUGCGCGGCUGGAGUGCAGGAGGGGCAGGCGGAAUUCCUGGUGUAGCGGUGAAAUGCGUAGAUAUACGGAGGAACACCAGUGGCGAAGGCGGCCUGCUGGACAUUAACUGACGCUGAGGCGCGAAAGCGUGGGGAGCAAACAGGAUUAGAUACCCCAGUA